GCUGGGAUAGCUCCGUCAGUAGAGCAUGAGACUCUUAAUCUUAGGUCGUGGGUUCGAGCCCCACAUUGGGCCAACA
rnacentral:tRNA from 1 species